UCGGUGCACGGAGCUUUGAGGUGGUGUGUUUAGCCUGUUUGUUCUUUUAGAAGCGCGCCUGGGAAGCUGGCAGCUAUUUGUUUCCGAAAGGUGGGCGCUCAUCAGGUGUUCUUCCUACUUCGGGCUCACAGAUGUUGCUGAGUGGCGUGUGGAGCAUUCAGCAUUCGCAAAUGUGGGAGCUCUAAACACUGGAUCACAAGCUAACAGUACCACAUGUUUACUGGAAAAUGGCCAAGGGGGGAAAAGUCACUGCGACCCUACAAUCUCGAGGAAAAAGUAGGAGUGAAGACUAACUGGAAAGAAGUAAAAGAAGACAGAGUAGACAGUGAAA